ACUUAAAUUGAAGAGUUUGAUCAUGGCUCAGAUUGAACGCUGGCGGCAGGCCUAACACAUGCAAGUCGAGCGGUAGCACAGAGAGCUUGCUCUCGGGUGACGAGCGGCGGACGGGUGAGUAAUGUCUGGGAAACUGCCUGAUGGAGGGGGAUAACUACUGGAAACGGUAGCUAAUACCGCAUAACGUCGCAAGACCAAAGUGGGGGACCUUCGGGCCUCAUGCCAUCAGAUGUGCCCAGAUGGGAUUAGCUAGUAGGUGGGGUAACGGCUCACCUAGGCGACGAUCCCUAGCUGGUCUGAGAGGAUGACCAGCCACACUGGAACUGAGACACGGUCCAGACUCCUACGGGAGGCAGCAGUGGGGAAUAUUGCACAAUGGGCGCAAGCCUGAUGCAGCCAUGCCGCGUGUGUGAAGAAGGCCUUCGGGUUGUAAAGCACUUUCAGCGGGGAGGAAGGCGGUGAGGUUAAUAACCUCAUCGAUUGACGUUACCCGCAGAAGAAGCACCGGCUAACUCCGUGCCAGCAGCCGCGGUAAUACGGAGGGUGCAAGCGUUAAUCGGAAUUACUGGGCGUAAAGCGCACGCAGGCGGUCUGUCAAGUCGGAUGUGAAAUCCCCGGGCUUAACCUGGGAACUGCAUUCGAAACUGGCAGGCUAGAGUCUUGUAGAGGGGGGUAGAAUUCCAGGUGUAGCGGUGAAAUGCGUAGAGAUCUGGAGGAAUACCGGUGGCGAAGGCGGCCCCCUGGACAAAGACUGACGCUCAGGUGCGAAAGCGUGGGGAGCAAACAGGAUUAGAUACCCUGGUAGUCCACGCCGUAAACGAUGUCGAUUUGGAGGUUGUGCCCUUGAGGCGUGGCUUCCGGAGCUAACGCGUUAAAUCGACCGCCUGGGGAGUACGGCCGCAAGGUUAAAACUCAAAUGAAUUGACGGGGGCCCGCACAAGCGGUGGAGCAUGUGGUUUAAUUCGAUGCAACGCGAAGAACCUUACCUGGUCUUGACAUCCACAGAACUUUCCAGAGAUGGAUUGGUGCCUUCGGGAACUGUGAGACAGGUGCUGCAUGGCUGUCGUCAGCUCGUGUUGUGAAAUGUUGGGUUAAGUCCCGCAACGAGCGCAACCCUUAUCCUUUGUUGCCAGCGGUCCGGCCGGGAACUCAAAGGAGACUGCCAGUGAUAAACUGGAGGAAGGUGGGGAUGACGUCAAGUCAUCAUGGCCCUUACGACCAGGGCUACACACGUGCUACAAUGGCAUAUACAAAGAGAAGCGACCUCGCGAGAGCAAGCGGACCUCAUAAAGUAUGUCGUAGUCCGGAUUGGAGUCUGCAACUCGACUCCAUGAAGUCGGAAUCGCUAGUAAUCGUAGAUCAGAAUGCUACGGUGAAUACGUUCCCGGGCCUUGUACACACCGCCCGUCACACCAUGGGAGUGGGUUGCAAAAGAAGUAGGUAGCUUAACCUUCGGGAGGGCGCUUACCACUUUGUGAUUCAUGACUGGGGUGAAGUCGUAACAAGGUAACCGUAGGGGAACCUGCGGUUGGAUCACCUCCUUACCUUAAAGAA
rnacentral:rRNA from 6 species